rnacentral:rRNA from 1 species
AUUGAACGCUGGCGGCAUGCCUUACACAUGCAAGUCGAACGGCAGCGCGGGGCAACCUGGCGGCGAGUGGCGAACGGGUGAGUAAUAUAUCGGAACAUGCCCAGAAGUGGGGGAUAACGUAGCGAAAGUUACGCUAAUACCGCAUACGAUCUACGGAUGAAAGUGGGGGACCGCAAGGCCUCAUGCUUUUGGAGUGGCCGAUAUCUGAUUAGCUAGUUGGUGGGGUAAAGGCCUACCAAGGCGACGAUCAGUAGCUGGUCUGAGAGGACGACCAGCCACACUGGAACUGAGACACGGUCCAGACUCCUACGGAGGCAGCAGUGGGGAAUUUUGGACAAUGGGGGCAACCCUGAUCCAGCAAUGCCGCGUGUGUGAAGAAGGCC